GGCGGAGGCGGAGGAGGAGGAGGAGCUGAAGCUUUUGAUGUCACUUGUAAUUGGUUGUUUGGUGAUUUGAGCCUGGACAUAUCUGGUGGUGGAGGUGGUUGUGAGAAUUUCACCCUUUGUGGUACAUAAGUUAGUGUUGGCUUCUUAUGUUGCUGCAAUUGUGAUGGUGGUGGAGGAGAUCGUGGUGAAGUUUGCUUAACUGAUGGUACAAUUAUGGCGCGUUUUAUAUCAGGGGAUGAACACGAAAGAGACAAUCUAGGAGAUGUUCUCUUUGAAUGAGGAAUCGAGUUAUUUGAUCUCGUCAUUAUACUAGUACUACUAGCACUAGUGAUAUUAUAUGGCUUGUAAAUUUUGGUUUCAUCGUCGUCUUCAGAUGAAUUUAUUAUUGCAGGAGGAUUGAAAAAUGUAGGGUUAUUU
rnacentral:misc_RNA from 1 species